CUAAAAUAUUAGGUAGGCUUCCUCACUUUGAUUCCUUUUCAAGUGAAGAUUGAUGUGAAUGCAUGAUUGAGAAGUUAUGAGGACCAGAUGGUGCUCUGUAGUAUUGCACGGAUGGAUUUUUCACAUAUAUUGACUGCCAGGAGGACAAGGGGAGCAGAUACAUGGGAGCACCACCUGCAAGUUCCCCUUCAAGCCACUUGCCAUCCUGACUUGAAAAUAUAUCACCAUUCCUUUAUGAUUUGGAGGUGCCGGUGUUCGACUGGGAUGGAAAAAGCUAGUGCUUCCAAAUAAACUUGUUGGAUUAUAA